GCUGGCGGCGUGCUUAACACAUGCAANUGGAGCGACGAACCGGGGCUUGCCCCGGGGCCAGAGCCGCGAACGGGUGAGUAACACGUGGGUCACCUGCCUCGAUGACCGGGACAACCCGAGGAAACUCGGGCUAAUACCGGAUGUGCUCUUCGGAGGAAAGGUAGCUUCGGCUUCCGCAUCGAGAUGGGCCCGCGGCGCAUUAGCUUGUUGGUGGGGUAACGGCCUACCAAGGCGACGAUGCGUAGCUGGUCUGAGAGGACGAUCAGCCACACUGGGACUGAGACACGGCCCAGACUCCUACGGGAGGCAGCAGUGGGGAAUCUUGCGCAAUGCGCGAAAGCGUGACGCAGCAACGCCGCGUGGGGGAAGAAGGCCUUCGGGUUGUAAACCUCUUUCAGUUGGGACGAAGCUUCGGCGGUGAACAGCCGCCCGGAGUGACGGUACCUUCACAAGAAGCCCCGGCUAACUACGUGCCAGCAGCCGCGGUAAUACGUAGGGGGCAAGCGUUGUCCGGAAUCAUUGGGCGUAAAGCGCGUGUAGGCGGCUCGGUAAGUCCGCUCUGAAAGUCCAGGGCUCAACCCUGGGAUGCGGGUGGAUACUGCCGGGCUC
rnacentral:rRNA from 1 species